rnacentral:rRNA from 1 species
GCAGUCGACGCUUUUUCUUUCACCGGAGCUUGCUCCACCGAAAGAAAAAGAGUGGCGAACGGGUGAGUAACACGUGGGUAACCUGCCCACCAGAAGGGGAUAACACUUGGAAACAGGUGCUAAUACCGUAUAAUAAGUAAAACCGCAUGGUUUUACUUUGAAAGGCGCUUUUGCGUCACUGGUGGAUGGACCCGCGGUGCAUUAGCUAGUUGGUGAGGUAACGGCUCACCAAGGCAACGAUGCAUAGCCGACCUGAGAGGGUGAUCGGCCACAUUGGGACUGAGACACGGCCCAAACUCCUACGGGAGGCAGCAGUAGGGAAUCUUCGGCAAUGGACGAAAGUCUGACCGAGCAACGCCGCGUGAGUGAAGAAGGUUUUCGGAUCGUAAAACUCUGUUGUUAGAGAAGAACAAGGAUGAGAGUAAAACGUUCAUCCCUUGACGGUAUCUAACCAGAAAGCCACGGCUAACUACGUGCCAGCAGCCGCGGUAAUACGUAGGUGGCAAGCGUUGUCCGGAUUUAUUGGGCGUAAAGCGAGCGCAGGCGGUUUCUUAAGUCUGAUGUGAAAGCCCCCGGCUCAACCGGGGAGGGUCAUUGGAAACUGGGAAACUUGAGUGCAGAAGAGGAGAGUGGAAUUCCAUGUGUAGCGGUGAAAUGCGUAGAUAUAUGGAGGAACA